GGUGAACGCUGGCGGCGUGCUUAACACAUGCAAGUCGAACGAUGAACCGGGUGCUUGCGCUCGGGGAUUAGUGGCGAACGGGUGAGUAACACGUGAGCAACCUGCCCCUGACUCUGGGAUAAGCGCUGGAAACGGCGUCUAAUACUGGAUAUGUCCCGUCACCGCAUGGUGUGCGGGUGGAAAGAUUUUUCGGUUGGGGAUGGGCUCGCGGCCUAUCAGCUUGUGGGUGGGGUAAUGGCUCACCAAGGCGUCGACGGGUAGCCGGCCUGAGAGGGUGACCGGCCACACUGGGACUGAGACACGGCCCAGACUCCUACGGGAGGCAGCAGUGGGGAAUAUUGCACAAUGGGCGGAAGCCUGAUGCAGCAACGCCGCGUGAGGGAUGACGGCCUUCGAGUUGUAAACCUCUUUUAGCAGGGAAGAAGCGAGAGUGACGGUACCUGCAGAAAAAGCACCGGCUAACUACGUGCCAGCCGCCGCGGUAAUAC
rnacentral:rRNA from 1 species